rnacentral:rRNA from 1 species
GAAAGAUUUAUUGCUAAAAGGUCGGCCCGCGGUAGAUUAGGCAGUUGGUGGGGUAAAGGCCUACCAAACCUACGAUCUAUAGCUGGUCUGAGAGGACGAUCAGCCACAUUGGAACUGAGACACGGUCCAGACUCCUACGGGAGGCAGCAGUGAGGAAUAUUGGGCAAUGGAGGCAACUCUGACCCAGCCAUGCCGCGUGAGUGAAGAAGGUUUUCGAAUUGUAAAGCUCUUUCAGGUGUGAAGAUGAUGACGGUAACACCAGAAGAAGCCCCGGCAAACUUCGUGCCAGCAGCCGCGGUAAUACGAAGGGGGCGAGCGUUGUUCGGAAUUACUGGGCGUAAAGGGUGUGUAGGCGGUUUAGUAAGAUAGUGGUGAAAUGCCGGAGCUCAACUUCGGAAUUGCCAUUAUGACUAUUAAGCUAGAAUGAUGUAGAGGAUAGCGGAAUACCCAGUGUAGAGGUGAAAUUCGUAGAUAUUGGGUAGAACACCAGAGGCGAAGGCGGCUAUCUGGGCAUUUAUUGACGCUGAGGCACGAAAGCAUGGGGAUCAAACAGGAUUAGAUACCCUGGUAGUCCAUGCUGUAAACGAUGAAUGCUAG